GACGAACGCUGGCGGCGUGCCUAAUACAUGCAAGUAGAACGCUGAAGGAGGAGCUUGCUUCUCCGGAUGAGUUGCGAACGGGUGAGUAACGCGUAGGUAACCUGCCUGGUAGCGGGGGAUAACUAUUGGAAACGAUAGCUAAUACCGCAUAAGAGUAGAUGUCGCAUGACAUUUGCUUAAAAGGUGCAACUGCACCACUACCAGAUGGACCUGCGUUGUAUUAGCUAGUUGGUGAGGUAACGGCUCACCAAGGCAACGAUACAUAGCCGACCUGAGAGGGGGGUCGGCCACCCUGGGACUGAGACACGGCCCAGACUCCUACGGGAGGCAGCAGUAGGGAAUCUUCGGCAAUGGACGGAAGUCUGACCGAGCAACGCCGCGUGAGUGAAGAAGGUUUUCGGAUCGUAAAGCUCUGUUGUAAGAGAAGAACGAGUGUGAGAGUGGAAAGUUCACACUGUGACGGUAUCUUACCAGAAAGGGACGGCUAACUACGUG
rnacentral:rRNA from 1 species